rnacentral:rRNA from 1 species
AGUAACACGUAAACAACCUGCCUUCAGGAUGGGGACAACAGACGGAAACGACUGCUAAUACCGAAUACGAUCUUGAGUCGCAUGACACAAGAAAGGAAGGGUGGCCUCUACUUGUAAGCUAUCGCCUGAAGAGGGGUUUGCGUCCGAUUAGGUAGUUGGUGAGGUAACGGCCCACCAAGCCGACGAUCGGUAGCCGGUCUGAGAGGAUGAACGGCCACAUUGGAACUGAGACACGGUCCAGACUCCUACGGGAGGCAGCAGAC